GAUUGUUUUGUGUACGUUUCGUGCGCGUUUGCGGGCCGUCGUUUGUUCGCUGCGCUAAAAAAAUCUAUUUUCUUUCUAUUUCGUGCCGUGUUUCGUGUUUAAGUUGAGUGUUGCCUGUUCACUACGUAAGAUGGAUCAAUAUCCAACCGAGGAGGAGGAGUUCGAGCUCGUGUACGGCGAUGAUCUCGAUGCGAUGGACGAGCUAGAAGACGAACCACCGCCAGCGACCCGCAAUGCUCCGUCCGUACCUGGUACACCGUCCUCAAACGGUGGUCCCAGAGCAUCGAGCUCCUGCUCAAAUUACCGAACCCCGGGCCAGCUAGGUACGAUCGACGAAAGCCCGCUAGCCAGUCCAGCACUGUCCGUCAUCACGCGGGGCAGCAGUACCGCACACAAACGACUGUUCGAUACUCCCGGUCCAUCGUCUCAAUCGACGGCGCCGAACGGUGUCGGUAAAUAUGGACGUGCCGCGUCCACACCCUUCCCCGGUGCGACUGGUAGCGCAAAUGCACUUGCCACACUGCAACAGAUGGACGCCAAUCCGCGCAAGCGGCGACUGGAAGCACUGUUCGGCGACAUUCAGGACAUUGAGGAGGAACCGUUCGAGGAGGAGUACGUGUACAGCUCGCAGAAGAAGACGAAAACGGAGGAGGAGCAGGAUAUGGAGCUGAUCGAACGGAUACUGGAAGCGCGGCAGCGGUACAAUGCGGUCGCAAACCCUUUGAAACCGUCGAUGCUAUCGCGGGCCGAAGCGCUGCAUCGCUUCAAGAUGGAUAAUAUUUCGCUAGAACCACCCAAGUGGCCUUCGAUGACGAUUAAGCGGGACGACAAAACGUGCGUCUACGUUCGCUUCCAUUCGGAGGAGUUUGAGAAGGACCAAAUUGAUGAAAUCAGUUGCACCAGCGGUGCCGGAUACAACGGACUGCUCGGAGCGGAGAAGGAGCGAAUCUGGCGUGAAGCUAAUGAGAUUGUAGCAAAACGGUUAACCGAACCGGCCAACGCUAUUGCCGCCCCGGCGUCCGAGGUGGAGGAAAUCGUCAUACCAAGCGAAAGCAAUGUACUGUGGGUGGAAAAGUAUCGACCCCGGCGAUACAUCGAUCUGCUGUCGGAUGAAACCACCAACCGGAGCCUGCUGCAGUGGCUCAAGCUAUGGGACAAGGCCGUGUUCGGCAGGGAACCGGUGAAGAAGCAGAAAGACCCCAAAACGCAGCUAAGCAACUUUAACAAGAAAACGGGCCGCUUCGAAUCGAACGGCGGUUGGGUGAAGGGCGCAAGGAAGGCUCGGUCCACACUGAACACCGAGCUGGACGAGCACGGCUGCCCGGUGCAGAAGGUGGCGCUGCUGGCUGGUCCACCGGGGCUGGGCAAAACCACCCUCGCGCACACGAUCGCCCGGCACGCGGGGUACGCGGUGCGGGAGGUGAAUGCAUCCGACGAUCGCAGCCCGGAUGCGUUCCGGCUGGUGCUGGAGAACGGUACGCAGAUGAAAUCGGUGCUGAACGAGGAGCGGCGACCGAACUGUAUUGUGCUGGACGAAAUCGAUGGCGCGCCGGUGGCGGCAAUUGAGUUUUUGCUUCGAUUUAUCGCUGGCAAUGUCGGUGCUGCGAAGGCGGCGGCUGGUGGUGGUGUGAAGAAGACGGGCAAAGCGGCACGCGACAAGUUUGUGCUGAAGCGUCCGAUAAUUUGCAUCUGCAACGAUGUGUACGCACCGGCGCUGAGGCAGCUGCGCCAGGUAGCGUAUGUGGUAAACUUCCCACCGACGGAAGGCGUUCGACUGGCAGAAAGAUUGCUCGUGAUCGCGAAGAAGGAACGCAUCAAGACGGAUCUUACCUCGAUGCUGGCGCUGGCGGAAAAGACCGGCAACGAUGUGCGCGCCUGUCUAUCGAUGCUGCAGUUCUUUGCCUGCGCGAACAAACCGAUCCGCCUGACGGAUGUGCUGAAGUGUAACGUCGGUCAAAAGGAUCGGCACAAGGGCCUGUUUAGCAUAUGGUCAUCGAUAUUUCAGAUCCAACGACCGAAGAAAACGAUUACCGUGGACGCGAACGCCACGGUUACGGAGAUGGUGACGCUCACCGACAUGUCCGCCUCGACCCGUAUGGCCACCGUGCUGCAGGUCGUGCAGAUGGCGGGCGACUACGAGCGCCUCACGCAGGGCGUGUACGAAAACUAUCUCCACCAGAAGAUGCCGGACGCGGACAUGUGCGGCGUGGCGGAGGCCACCGAGUGGUUCAGCUUCAACGAUCGGCUGCAGCGGGCGAUUAAUCAGCUGCAGAACUACGCCAUCUAUCCGUACCUGGCGUACGCGUUCGUCAUGUGGCACUAUCUGUUCGCUACCCUGGCCUGGCCAAAAAUCAAUUUCCCCAGCAAAGGAUACGAGCACUCGCAAAAGCUGGCCAGCACGAAGCUGAUUAUGACCGGGCUGCGGAAGGGAUUGUCCGCCCACCUGAAGGGCAUUGGCGAGGGUGCGGCCGUACUGAUCGAUACGAUACCGAUGCUGAAGCGUGUGAUCAAUCCAACGCUACGCUCCGUUUCGUUGCAGCUUUUAUCUCAAAAAGAAAAAUCCGACCUCACACACACGGUCGAGGUAAUGGCAGACUUUGGGCUGAACUACAUCCAGCUCAAAACGCCCGAAGGCACGUACCAGUACCAGCUGAACCCGGAUCUCGAUCAGUUGUGCAGCUUCGGUGGCGGCUCGGCCGGCCAAACCUCCACCUACUUCGGCAAGCAGAUCGUCUCGCGGGAGGUGGAGCUGGAGCAGAUGCGUCGGGCACAGCCGAAGAUGCUGGAAGAAAGUGCAGGAAGGAGCGGACGCGCUACCGUUGCCGGCGCAAAACCGGGCAAAGGUUUGGCAAACGGUUGGCACAAAGAAAAUGCGGCACCGGAGCAAUCGGGCAGGAAGGACAGGGAGGGUGGAAGGGGAACGGCGGGCGAAAAGUCAUCGCCCGAGCUGCCAAAUCAUCUGCGCACCCUGAAGCCGAAGCAAAUUGUGCAGAAAACGAAGCAAGUGGUUUCGAAGGACUUUUUCGGUCGGAUUUGCACGAAGGAAACGGCGCUGUCGGUGAAGGAGGGUGGAACCGAUGCCAUUGUGAAGAGUCCCAUUUGGUACCGAUACAAGGAAGGUUUCAACAAUGCAGUGCGGAAGGAUGUAACGCUACAGGACUUGAUGUGAGGAGCCGGAGGAGUGUGUUUAAAACUAGUAAUUUAAUAAACCGAAACAUAAAUGCUAAGAAGAUUGUGUGAUGAACUGGAAACAUCUGAAUGAAUAUGUGUUUGCUCAAUUUAGCAAGUAAUAUCUUACUGCUUGCUACGUGGAGUUAAAAAAGAAAAGAAACUCUUCCACAACACGUAUACGAACCUUGAACUUGAACUGGCGCUUUCGCGGUUGCUGUCCAAAAAACCGGAAAACGAGCUCAACUUACCGGCAAUAAAAUCCAAUUAAUUACCCUCCAUAUCACACCAUUCGGCAAUCACCGCCAUUGAGAAUAAUUGCGCUCCGUCCUGAUUACGGGGUUUGGCUGCAGCGACACAGAUAGCGAAACCAUAGCCAUACCACCGACAAUCGUGCAAUAACUCAUCUAAUGUCAGCCGGUGCAUCGUCUUAUCGGUGCACGACCCUUUCGGGUGUCGUCGAUACGGCUUGAAUGAAUUAUUUGAAACUCGAGCAAUGGGAGCAGGGAAGGCAAACGAAACGGAAGACAAAACUCUCCUUCGGCUGACAGUGAAAUCUUUAUCACGCUGACAGAAGUGACGGUUUCCUAUCACCAACGGUCGCACGAUUCACAUGGGCACGAACAAAAAAGAACGCACCCCGCUGGAGGUUCAAAUUUCAAAAACCCGAUCUAAGCACUAUCUCAACACGGCACGGCAGCGAAAGCCAACCGAAUCAAAUCUUCCAACGAAACGGCCAAAAAUCGUUCCAAUCCCCCUUAUCGAUAAGACAGAUCCUUUAAUGAGUGUAAAGUGAUCGUUUAGCGUGGGGACGGGACCCGACCGCGCGAUAAGCCGGAUGCUGGCCGAAUGCUGCCGACGAGGAACCAGCUGCGUUACUGAUAAUGAACUGCCCGAACGGUCG